GUGUUCGGCAAUAUAUAGCUAAAUAAUUUCCAUUUAUAAACUUUAAGUUUGUUUGUGUAUAUUUCUUUGUUUGUAAAUGAUAAGGAGUGUCUAAUUUGUAAUGGUUUUACGCCUAAUAUUCUUUGCCAUUUUAUUAUUCCAAUGUUUGGAGUUAUUUUGUUUUUUAUAAAAUGUUGAUAGACGGUUUUGUUAUCAAGAUCUGCUAAAUUUAUUUCUGUUUCAUUCAUUCUAAUUAUUUUUUCGUUAAUACUAACUUGGGUUUUAACAGAUUUAUUUGUUUUCAGGAUAUCUAUCCAACAUUUUGGAAUAGCUUUUUUUAGUAUUGAUAGUUCGGCUAUCCAGUUGUGUUUUAUUUCUAACUUACGCAGUAUUGUCUUUUCGUUGAUUUGACCGUUUUCGUCAAUAAUUUCAUUAAUAUAGAUUAUAUUGCUUUUGAUCCAAUUGAGCAUCAAUAAUGGUUUAUUUUUUUUUUUUUAUGUUUUUAUUACCCCAUAUAAUUUCUUUGCGUAUUUCUCUAAAGUUAGUGGGUGAUUUAGUUUGACCUCCACCUUUCCGUAUCCAGCAUUUUACAAUAUCCAGAUAAAAUUCUGGUAAUUCAGUUGUAAUUUUAAGUAGUUUUAAAUUUUUAAGUUCUAAAUUCAUUUUGAAGAUAAGGAAGUUUUUUCCGUAUUUAUCAAAAAAGAAUCUCGGAAUAAUUGACCAAUUUUCAUGUUUUGACUCCAUUAAUCUUGAUACCCAUUUAAUUUUAAGUGUAUUAAAGUAGCUGUCGAUAUCUAUCAUAUUGAGUCCUCCUGUACUGUAAUCUGCUAUGAGAGUUGACCUUUUUAAUUUGUCUUGUUUACCGUUCCAAAUAAAAUUAAAAAUUUCUCUUUCUAGAUUGUCGCUGUACGUUUUAUUUAUGACUGUCAUACUUGCUAAGUAUGUGAAUUGUGGAAUAAUAAGUGAUUUGAUUAUAAGAAUUUUACCGAUGAUAGUAAGAUGUCUUUUUUCCCAAGAUUUCAUGAGUUUUUUUGCUUUUUCAAAUUUGUUUUCCCAAUUUAGUUUUGCGCAUUCUGCUUUAUUUGUGCCGAAAUAUAAUCCUAACACUUUAACGGGUUUAUCUGUGAAUUUUAUAUUAUCUACUUUAUCUUUACAAUUUUUCAGUUUUCCUAUCCAAAUGCCUUCCGUUUUGUUUUUAUUUAAUUUAAGACCAGAAAAUGUGCCAAAUAUUUCAAUAACGUUUAAUGCUGCUAUAAUUUCAUUUUUUGAUUUAAGAAACAGAGUGGUAUCAUCUGCUAACUGGGAAAUUUUCAGAUUAUGUUUUGAAUGGUCAAGUUUGAUUUCAAAACCUUUAAUGUUAUAAUCAUUCCUUAAUUUACAUGCCAUGAU
rnacentral:lncRNA from 1 species